AUCGCUUCUCGGCCUUUUGGCUAAGAUCAAGUGUAGUAUCUGUUCUUAUCAGUUUAAUAUCUGAUACAUCCUCUAUUUGAGGACUAUAUAUCUGGGCCAGGCUGUGGUGCAGCUGGCUAGUAACCAGCUGCAAUAAAU
rnacentral:snRNA from 11 species